AUUGAACGCUGGCGGCAGGCCUAACACAUGCAAGUCGGGCGAGUGGCGGACGGGUGAGUAAUGCUUGGGAAUCUAGCUUAUGGAGGGGGAUAACUACGGGAAACUGUAGCUAAUACCGCGUACCAUAGGAUGAGCCCAGGUGGGAGUAGGUAGUUGGUGGGGUAAAGGCGCACCAAGCCGACGAUCCCUAGCUGGUCUGAGAGGAUGAACAGUCACACUGGGACUGAGACACGGCCCAGACUCCUACGGUAGGCAGCAGUGGGGAAUAUUGCGCAAUGGGGGCAACCUGACGCAGCCAUGCCGCGUGAGUGAAGAAGGCCUUCGGAUUGUAAAGUACUUUCAGUCGGGAGGCGUUACCGACAGAAGAAGCACCGGCUAACUCCGUGCCAGCAGCCGCGGUAAUAC
rnacentral:rRNA from 1 species